GUUGGUACACAUUUUGGGAUUCUGCUCUGCUCACUUGGAGACACACGUACACAAGAGGGGAGAGAAAAGGAGAGCAAAGACAAAAAUUAUUACUUCCUCUUCAGGUGCUUUUACUCGCAGCCUCACUGCUAGAAAAAGACAAACACAACACACAGAGACUUAUCAGCCCCUCUCCGAUCAAGGGUAUUUAUACCAGUGUCUGUCUCAUUUAGACAUUGCUUUUAGUUGUCUCCUGAUUGCAGUUCACAGCUGUGUUGUACAACCUGUACCCUCCUAUCUAGGAUAGUUUGAUUAAAAGGAAAGUAAAAGAAGCAUGUGAAAAGACUACAAGAGCUACUGAGAGAAGGAUGACUUCAGGACCCCUAGUCUUCCCUUCCAAGUGGGUUUCCAGGACUGCGCUGAAAUUGGUGGACAUAGCGAUGACUUCUUUGUAUCUCCUCACCAGAAACUUACCAGAUGGUCUGACCAGAUCGAGUACAAACGAGGGGGAAUUGUUACAGUCACUGUGGGAACAUAAAUGGAGAACCAGCCUAAGAGUGAAGAGACUGAGGACAACAGAAUGAAUUGAUCACACUGUACCAUGAAGCAGAUGGUCCCGAUGAGGGGAAGGAGGAUUUGACCCUCACUAAGUGAAGGAGUUGCUGAUUUAGUCAAGACAAGAACAGGAUGCGAUGCUUUGGUCUAGAGCAUUGACAUUUGCAUCUCUGAGUGAGAGUGCUUGUUUUCAUUGGAGGAACAGCAAGACUGCCUUUUGAAACAUUUAAGGGGCUUAUGGUAUUACUGCAAAACACUCCGGACAUGCACAGCAUGAAGAAACAAGUUGGAAGGUACAUUUAGAUGCAGCAGACUCAAAUCAGGUAAACUCGCAGGAUUCACGUGGCCUCUGACACCAGGUGAUUGCAAAUGGUAAUAAACACAAUCCAAAUUUAGGUUUGCACACGCUUUCCUAGGAAGGGGUUGGAAAAUAACUGUGUUGUAACAGACUAAGUGGUUAGAGAACUUUGUUAAUUCAGACAUAAACCUGUUAGCAUAAAAUAUUGCCAGAGGUCUGAAAUGGCCUCAGACAGUUUACAUUUUUCAUCACUGCUAGAGACAACUAACCCUUUCUCUCCCUAAGGAUAAUAUUGCUUCUCCACAAGGCAGCCCAAAAGCCAGUCUCUUUGUACACAAGAGAAAUGCCUCUAAUCUAGACUUUAUUAGACCGAUCAUUAUAUAAUGGCUUUAGAAACUCUGGACAAAACAGAGUAGUGGGUUCAGCCGACGGUAAUGUCAGACUGCUGUCAAUAAUCCCUAGCAGAUGCAAACGUGUGACCCUUUUUCCCAUAAUUGUUGAAUAUUUAUUUUUAUCUUAUAAUGUUAAUAAGGUUUAUUGUGCUGCAGAGAGAGCUGAUAUCACAUGACCUUCAUCUUCCUGACUCACAACAAAACCAGAAACAUUACACUGCCUGUCACGUCCUGUUGUUUAAUGAUAAUGUGUAGGUUAGUUGCUUUUCUUCUCCACACAAUAUUAUUUAUUCCUUUCGGACUGCCUUCCCUUAUUUGGAGUUGCCAUCGUGCUAAGCAAAAAAAGCGUAACUGAAAUAAGAGAUUCUGAAGCAUCUUUUCAGCAUGAGCAGUGGAAACAACAGAAAAAUAGAAACAGUUUUUAGACAGCACUCGAUCAGUUUAUAAAUGGCAUUAAAAGACGUGAUUGCCGAGAAGAGCAAGGACUGGAUUUGAAGAAGCAGGAGACACUGAGCAAUUCAGCCUUCCUAAAUAAGACCUAGAUAAAAGCCUGAGUAACCCCAGUCUCAGAAAACAAAAACAGACUAUGUGAAGGACGUGGGAGGUAAAACACAGUCUUCAUUUUCCUUGGAACAAAAUUAGCUCUCCUCAUGUCAAUUGGAGAUGGCGAGAGCCCAAAAUAAAGGUUUGCAUCUGGCCCUUUAUUUGCGUUGUGCUGAGCUGGGAUCCCCAGUGCAGAGAGCUCCUUUUGGAUCAGCUACGCUGGUAUUGCCUGGCACAUAAGAACCACGUGGACAGAGAUAGAAAAAUGCAAUAGCAUGGAGAACCAGACUGUAGCUUAGGCUGCAUCUUUUCAAAGUGCUGCAAGGAAAGGUGAGGUUGGUUCGUGGGUGGGUUAACGGGAUCUUCAUUUCACACACCUGGGAAUGAAUGGCUGCAGUUCCCUAAGCAUUGAGUACCAUUGCUGCAUCUGGGAACUGCAUCCCAGGAGGAGGAGCCUCAGCAGGGGGAGAAGCAAAGUGUGCUUCAGGCCCAGAACCUCCUGCCAGUCCCUGGACAGAGCAACCGCUGUGUCACACCAUUUGAUUCUUGUUCAGCUUAAGCAGGGGUGUGCAAAACUUCAUCAGUGCAACUCAGAAAAGCAAGCCCAAUGUGGGGAUACAAAGAAGCAUGGGAACAGCUGGGAAGUUGAACCCCUUGGGCUGGAAAUCAUCCUGCUGGAAUGAAUGGGACUGGUGGCAGAGGAGGUUCUCCACUUUCUGUGGGCAGGCACUCUGGCUUUGCACCAAGAGUUUGGGAAGCCCAGGAGAUGUAGCAUGUUGUCUGUGCCAGAGUUUUCCAGCUGCAUCUUUCUGAGUGCAAACUUUAUACGCUCUCAAAACAGCGAGGAUAAGUCAUUCUUGGUUUCGUUACACGCUUUAAAUGGAGUGAGAGCCCUCAGCAAUUCUAAAACAUUCCCUUUACAGGUUCAUUAAUGAGACCUAUGGGAAUUGGAUUGGGUUCUUCUUCACUGUUAUUUGGACUGUGAGAAAAAAAAAUGCAGAAAGGCAAAGCUGUUUUCAAGCCAGGACUUUUUUCCUAUCUCAAAACUGAAAUGUUUAUCAGGCUUGUGCUGCUAAGUCCCAAUAUUUGGGGUAUUUCUUAGAGUUGUGAGGAGACUUUUGGUUUUUUUUGUGUGUGUGUGUGUGCAUCUGUGGUUAAUUUUACUUACAUCUCUGUGAUCAGUUGUUUACACUGCUUUUUUAAACGUUAUUCUACAACUGAAAAUUAUAUCUCAUGCUAUAAAAAAAAGUUUUAGUCCAUGUGGUAGUGAAACAAUGUCGUACUUUUAUUUUAGUCAUAGUGUUUUCUAAGAGUUAGUGAAAUGAAUGCUAGGGUGCACUUGUGAAUUUGGCAGUGCAUCCCAAUUGCACUGACAUGAAAACCAAGCCUCUCUCCCCAGUGGUUUUGCACCAAUGUAUUUUCACUUGGGAUCAUUUUUGUUAGUACAAUAAAAGCUCCACUGUCCCAAGCCUGAUGCAGUUAUAUCAGUGAUGAAAAUGCUGUAUCUGGGUCUGGCUGUCCCCCAAAUCCUGAUAUCCAGUUUUCCUCCACUGCCUCUGAACUAGCACAAGCCAGGUCUUGGUUUUCAGCCUGUUACAUUGAUACUGAGGUAGCUAAUGCAUGACAGAUGUCAUGAUGAAAUCAUAGAUCCAGUGAGGUCACUGGCAAAGCUCCCAUUCAUGUAAAGAGUCACAAGGCUUUGUGCAGCACAAUUUCAGCUCCAUGUGCAUUACCCAAAACACAGGUCACCCCCAGUUGCAAGAUGGCUGCUUUUCCCAACACGGUGAUCAAAAAGCAGCAGUGUUCACAGUGUUUGUAACCAGCAAUUCACCGGCAUCCUUGGGCAUUUUCACAUAGUGGGCAAAUCCAACAGGGCAAUUGCCUCCGAAACCCUUCUGCCAAUAGUCAUUGGACAGCAAUGCUCUGUUGCUAUCCAGGAACACUACCACCUUUUGGCUUACUCCUGGCCGGCUGCCAGAUACCUGGGGACUGACAACCUAGAAACAUUGAUCCUGCUAUUUGGGGUUUCACCAGCAGUGCAGGCUCAGGGUUCAGCACACAGUUCUGGGAACCAUGGGGAAAUAAGGCUACAGUUCUGCUCCUGAGCUGGGAGAUAGGCCUCCGGGCGAGAUGCAUUUCUGUGCUUCAGAGCUGCAUGUGCUCCCAUGCUGUGCGUGUGGUUAUGCAAACAAAAGUAGCUUGUGCCGUAGAGCUGCAGUCCCUGUUCUGUGUCAUGUGCAGGCAUAGGGAAAGCUGCUUCGUGUCUCCCUUAGAGAAACAGUACAAGCAACACCAGCUUGGAUUUUUGGUGGCCCUCCAUGAAGCAGUUUGUGAACCGUUAGUGGCAUACUUGCUGCUAUCUGGGAAUCAAUGGGAGGCAGUGAUUCCCAUGGGAAGUGGUGAGAAACAGCAUCAUGUGCCCUGGCUAGACUCUGUGAUGCAGCGGUGCUUUAGAUACCCAGGUUAUUUACAGCUAGGCAGGAUAUUUCUGUCAUACACUGUGGUGAAGGAAAACCAAAAACUACUGGCUAUCUAGACACUAUUCAUCCAUAAGGAUAACUUAUUUUAUAAUCAAAAUGAACCAUUCAGCGUUAUGGACUGCAGUGGAAAAGAUUAGGCCUUCAACAUAAGUCAGAAGCAAAAGCUUAGUGCUGCCCCCCCCACCUUCACUGCAGUUCCUGUUCCUUGCCUCCAUCCAUUCAUGCAAGAGGAACUUCAGCAGAGGAAAGUGAUGCCUGAGCCCCCAGUCCCAGAAAACUCUGUAAGGCUGAGAAUACUGGCUAAAGAGUAAAACGGAUAUGUCACCAAGGCAGUGUGGGAUGGAUUAAUGAGAUAGAUGCAAACCACAAAUGUGUUGUUCUGUACAGUCAAACUUAAAGACUUACAUUCAGAAACAGAAUAUAGGCUGUAAUCCUACCUGGAAUCCUAGACUUCCUAUCUAGAAAGACCCUAUAAAAGAUCAGUGUGUCUAACAGUUCAGGAAGGUUGUGGCUGGGGUGAGGAGGAACCCAAGAAAGUCUACAGAACAAAAUGACUGAGUAUUGGAGAAUGUGGCGUGUAGUGACAGACUGGUGGAGACACUCCAUCUGUUUAGCUUAACGAAGACAAAGUUGAGAGAGAGGAUGACUUGAUCGCAGUCUCUGAGUACUGACAUAGCGAGCAGAAAUGUGAUAAUAGAAGGCUUUUCAGUUAAGCUGAUGCAACUGUAAUAUGAUCCAACUGGAAGCUGGAAGCCAGACAAAAUUUUGACUAUAAAUAAGGUGCAGAUGUUUAACAGUGAGGGUAAUUAACCAGUGGAACUAAUUAUCAAGAACUGUGGGGACAAACACCGACUUUAAAUCAG